rnacentral:rRNA from 1 species
CUAGGUGAACCUGCGGAAGGAUCAUUGUCGAGACCGAAAUAAUAUCGAGCGAUUCAGAGAACCCGUGCAUCAGCGACGGCGGCUACCGUCGCGUAGCAUCCGUCCCAGUCGUGGCCUUGUACCGGGGGGGCCAUGAUGAAGGACGGAUGAAACACUCAAACCGGCGCAGUCACGCACCAAGGGAAAAUAUCGAAAAAACACGAGCACCACGCCAGGCUCAGUGGCGUGGCGUGUUGUUGCACGCCACAGGAAUCGACACGACUCUCGACAAUGGAUAUCUCGACUCUCGCAUCGAUGAAGAGCGCAGCAAAAUGUGAUAYGUGGUGYGAAUUGCAGAAUCCCGCGAACCAUCGAGAAUUUAAACGCAAGUUGCGCCUGAGGCCAGCCGGCCAAGGGCACGUCCGCCUGGGCGUCAAGCGUUGCGUCGCUCCGUGCCAACUCCAUCCCACCCAACGGGUGUGUCGGGCGAGGCUCGGACGUGCAGAGUGGCCCGUCGUGCUCACCGGCACGGCGGGCUGAAGUGUGGGUGAUCUUCUCAUUUCCCGCGAACAACAAGGGGUGGAUGGAACGCGGCCUACGUUGUGUCGUGCUGGCCUGAGAGAGGAUCGCACCUUCGAGGUGAUCCCAACCCAUGCGCCGAUCCACUGAUGGCGGCUUGGAAUGCGACCCCAGGAUGGGCGAGGCCACCCGCCGAGUUUAAGCAUAUCAAUAAGCG